rnacentral:rRNA from 1 species
UAAAGUGGCGUACGGGUGAGUAACACGUGGAUCAUCUACCUCUUUGUUGGGGGGGAUAAACCUUGGGAAACCGGGGCUAAUACCGCAUAAGCCUGUAAAGGGAAAGCAGCAAUGCGCAGAGAGAAGAGUCCGCGGCUGAUUAGCUAGUUGGUGAGGUAACGGCCCACCAAGGCAAUGAUCGGUAGCCGGCCUGAGAGGGCACACGGCCACACUGGCACUGAAACACGGGCCAG